CAUGCUCAGCUGCGAUGGAGGGACGGUGACAAACAGCAGUCAAAGACCUCUUUAGUCCAGCUGCUGAGCAACUCACUCAGCAUGUAUGCUCUGAACACUGUGGACCAGCCCCCCCAUCACCUGGAUCUCUUCAAGGCCAGUAUCAGAGAUUGUUCCAGCAUUAGCCUGUGGUCCUGGUACCUGCCCCCUCAUCACUGUGGUGUAUGUCAGGAUGGGUAAAAGCAGCAGGGUGCUGGUCCAUAUGGAACAUUCGGCUGCUCAUACUCACAACAUAGAGGAUGUUGAGCGCACACAGGCAUUGUUUGGAACAGGUAUUCCGGCUCCAGGGGAGAUGCAGACAAACAAAGGCCCGCAGGAAUAAACGGUCGCUCCGCAGCAGGUCCAACCUGGGAAGAACGGAGCUUCAUGCGUCAACCACAAACAACACAACCAGAGUAUACCGGAAGUUAUGUAACAAGCCUUCAAA